rnacentral:rRNA from 1 species
GACGAACGCUGGCGGCGUGCUUAACACAUGCAAGUGGUGCGACGAACCAGGGCUUGCCCUGGGGCAAAGCCGCGAACGGGUGAGUAACACGUGAGUAACCUGCCCCGAUGACCGGGACAACCCGAGGAAACUCGGGCUAAUACCGGAUGUGGCGCACAGAUAUAAGCCUGUGUGCUAAAGGAAGCUUCGGCCUCCGCAUUGGGAGGGGCUCGCGGCCCAUUAGCUUGUUGGUGGGGUAACGGCCUACCAAGGCAACGAUGGGUAGCUGGUCUGAGAGGACGAUCAGCCACACUGGGACUGAGACACGGCCCAGACUCCUACGGGAGGCAG